CGGCAUGGCUAAGUCUACACAUGCAAGUCGAGCGGUAACAUUUCAAAAGCUUGCUUUUGAAGAUGACGAGCGGCGGACGGGUGAGUAAUGCCUGGGAAUUUGCCCAUUUGUGGGGGAUAACAGUUGGAAACGACUGCUAAUACCGCAUACGCCCUACGGGGGAAAGCAGGGGACCUUCGGGCCUUGCGCUGAUGGAUAAGCCCAGGUGGGAUUAGCUAGUAGGUGAGGUAAAGGCUCACCUAGGCGACGAUCCCUAGCUGGUCUGAGAGGAUGAUCAGCCACACUGGGACUGAGACACGGCCCAGACUCCUACGGGAGGCAGCAGUGGGGAAUAUUGCACAAUGGGGGAAACCCUGAUGCAGCCAUGCCGCGUGUGUGAAGAAGGCCUUCGGGUUGUAAAGCACUUUCAGCGAGGAGGAAAGGUUGUAAGUUAAUAACUUCCAUCUGUGACGUUACUCGCAGAAGAAGCACCGGCUAACUCCGUGCCAGCAGCCGCGGUAAUACGGAGGGUGCGAGCGUUAAUCGGAAUUACUGGGCGUAAAGCGUGCGCAGGCGGUUUGUUAAGCGAGAUGUGAAAGCCCCGGGCUCAACCUGGGAACCGCAUUUCGAACUGGCAAACUAGAGUCUUGUAGAGGGGGGUAGAAUUCCAGGUGUAGCGGUGAAAUGCGUAGAGAUCUGGAGGAAUACCGGUGGCGAAGGCGGCCCCCUGGACAAAGACUGACGCUCAGGCACGAAAGCGUGGGGAGCAAACAGGAUUAGAUACCCUGGUAGUCCACGCCGUAAACGAUGUCUACUCGGAGUUUGGUGUCUUGAACACUGGGCUCUCAAGCUAACGCAUUAAGUAGACCGCCUGGGGAGUACGGCCGCAAGGUUAAAACUCAAAUGAAUUGACGGGGGCCCGCACAAGCGGUGGAGCAUGUGGUUUAAUUCGAUGCAACGCGAAGAACCUUACCUACUCUUGACAUCCACAGAAUCUGGUAGAGAUACCUCAGUGCCUUCGGGACUGUGAGACAGUGCUGCAUGCUGUCGUCAGCUCGUGUGUGAAAUGUGGUAGUCCCGCACGAGCGCACCCUAUCUACUGCAGCGGGUAUGCGGGACUUAGAGACUGCGUGAUAACCGAGAGUGGACGACGUCAGUCAUCAUGGUCUUACCAUAGCUACACACCGUGUCUCAAUGUCAGUACAAGUGCAGCCCGGAGUGACAUAUUCCAAUAAAGCUGC
rnacentral:rRNA from 1 species